rnacentral:rRNA from 1 species
AAGAGCGCGCUACCAUGCAGUCGAGCGGUACAGGGGAGCUUGCUCCUGCUGACGAGCGGCGGACGGGUGAGUAAUGCCUGGGGAUCUGCCUUAGUGAGGGGGAUAACCACUGGAAACGGUGGCUAAUACCGCAUAAUGUCGCGAGACCAAAGUGGGGGACCUUCGGGCCUCACGCACUAGGAUGAACCCAGGUGAGAUUAGCUAGUUGGUGAGGUAAUGGCUCACCAAGGCGACGAUCUCUAGCUGGUCUGAGAGGAUGAUCAGCCACACUGGGACUGAGACACGGCCCAGACUCCUACGGGAGGCAGCAGUGGGGAAUAUUGGACAAUGGGGGGAACCCUGAUCCAGCCAUGCCGCGUGUGUGAAGAAGGCCUUCGGGUUGUAAAGCACUUUCAUUGGUGAGGAAGGAUAUAAAACUAAUACUUUUAUGUAUUGACGUUAACCAAAGAAGAAGCACCGGCUAACUCCGUGCCAGCAGCCGCGGUAAUACGGAGGGUGCGAGCGUUAAUCGGAAUUACUGGGCGUAAAGGGCAUGCAGGCGGUUACAUAAGUCAGAUGUGAAAUCCCCGCGCUUAACGUGGGCAUUGCAUUUGAAACUAUGUAGCUAGAGUUCUGUAGAGGGGGGUAGAAUUCCAGGUGUAGCGGUGAAAUGCGUAGAGAUCUGGAGGAAUACCGAUUGCGAAGGCAGCCCCCUGGACAGUGACUGACGCUCAUAUGCGAAAGCGUGGGGAUCAAACAGGAUUAGAUACCCUGGUAGUCCACGCUGUCAACGAUGUCGAUUUGAAGGUUGUGGCUUUAAGCCGUGGCUUUCGGAGCUAACGCGUUAAAUCGACCGCCUGGGGAGUACGGCCG